CAGUCGAGCGGUACAGAGAUAGCUUGCUAUCUGCUGACGAGNGGCGGACGGGUGAGUAAUGCUUGGGAAUAUGCCUUUGAGUGGGGGACAACAGUUGGAAACGACUGCUAAUACCGCAUAACGUCUACGGACCAAAGGGGGGGACGCUUCGGCACCUCUCGCUCAUUGAUUAGCCCAAGUGAGAUUAGCUAGUUGGUAAGGUAAUGGCUUACCAAGGCGACGAUCUCUAGCUGGUUUGAGAGGAUGAUCAGCCACACUGGGACUGAGACACGGCCCAGACUCCUACGGGAGGCAGCAGUGGGGAAUAUUGCACAAUGGGCGAAAGCCUGAUGCAGCCAUGCCGCGUGUGUGAAGAAGGCCUUCGGGUUGUAAAGCACUUUCAGCGAGGAGGAAAGGUUAGUAGUUAAUAACUGCUAGCUGUGACGUUACUCGCAGAAGAAGCACCGGCUAACCUCGUGCCAGCAGCCGCGGUAAUACGAGGGGUGCAAGCGUUAAUCGGAAUUACUGGGCGUAAAGCGUGCGUAGGUGGUUUGUUAAGCAAGAUGUGAAAGCCCUGGGCUCAACCUGGGAACUGCAUUUUGAACUGGCAAGCUAGAGUUUUGUAGAGGGUAGUGGAAUUUCCAGUGUAGCGGUGAAAUGCGUAGAGAUUGGAAGGAACAUCAGUGGCGAAGGCGGCUACCUGGACAAAGACUGACACUGAGGCACGAAAGCGUGGGGAGCAAACAGGNNUAGAUACCCUGGUAGUCCACGCCGUAAACGAUGUCAACUAGCCGUCUGUAGACUUGAUCUGUGGGUGGCGUAGCUAACGCGCUAAGUUGACCGCCUGGGNAGUACGGCCGCAAGGUU
rnacentral:rRNA from 1 species